UUAAAUUGAAGAGUUUGAUCAUGGCUCAGAUUGAACGCUGGCGGCAGGCCUAACACAUGCAAGUCGAACGGUAGCACAGAGAGCUUGCUCUCGGGUGACGAGUGGCGGACGGGUGAGUAAUGUCUGGGAAACUGCCUGAUGGAGGGGGAUAACUACUGGAAACGGUGGCUAAUACCGCAUAACGUCGCAAGACCAAAGAGGGGGACCUUCGGGCCUCUUGCCAUCAGAUGUGCCCAGAUGGGAUUAGCUUGUUGGUGAGGUAACGGCUCACCAAGGCGACGAUCCCUAGCUGGUCUGAGAGGAUGACCAGCCACACUGGAACUGAGACACGGUCCAGACUCCUACGGGAGGCAGCAGUGGGGAAUAUUGCACAAUGGGCGCAAGCCUGAUGCAGCCAUGCCGCGUGUAUGAAGAAGGCCUUCGGGUUGUAAAGUACUUUCAGCGGGGAGGAAGGUGUUGUGGUUAAUAACCGCAGCAAUUGACGUUACCCGCAGAAGAAGCACCGGCUAACUCCGUGCCAGCAGCCGCGGUAAUACGGAGGGUGCAAGCGUUAAUCGGAAUUACUGGGCGUAAAGCGCACGCAGGCGGUCUGUCAAGUCGGAUGUGAAAUCCCCGGGCUCAACCUGGGAACUGCAUUCGAAACUGGCAGGCUUGAGUCUUGUAGAGGGGGGUAGAAUUCCAGGUGUAGCGGUGAAAUGCGUAGAGAUCUGGAGGAAUACCGGUGGCGAAGGCGGCCCCCUGGACAAAGACUGACGCUCAGGUGCGAAAGCGUGGGGAGCAAACAGGAUUAGAUACCCUGGUAGUCCACGCCGUAAACGAUGUCUACUUGGAGGUUGUGCCCUUGAGGCGUGGCUUCCGGAGCUAACGCGUUAAGUAGACCGCCUGGGGAGUACGGCCGCAAGGUUAAAACUCAAAUGAAUUGACGGGGGCCCGCACAAGCGGUGGAGCAUGUGGUUUAAUUCGAUGCAACGCGAAGAACCUUACCUGGUCUUGACAUCCACAGAAGAAUCCAGAGAUGGAUUUGUGCCUUCGGGAACUGUGAGACAGGUGCUGCAUGGCUGUCGUCAGCUCGUGUUGUGAAAUGUUGGGUUAAGUCCCGCAACGAGCGCAACCCUUAUCCUUUGUUGCCAGCGGUCCGGCCGGGAACUCAAAGGAGACUGCCAGUGAUAAACUGGAGGAAGGUGGGGAUGACGUCAAGUCAUCAUGGCCCUUACGACCAGGGCUACACACGUGCUACAAUGGCGCAUACAAAGAGAAGCGACCUCGCGAGAGCAAGCGGACCUCAUAAAGUGCGUCGUAGUCCGGAUUGGAGUCUGCAACUCGACUCCAUGAAGUCGGAAUCGCUAGUAAUCGUGGAUCAGAAUGCCACGGUGAAUACGUUCCCGGGCCUUGUACACACCGCCCGUCACACCAUGGGAGUGGGUUGCAAAAGAAGUAGGUAGCUUAACCUUCGGGAGGGCGCUUACCACUUUGUGAUUCAUGACUGGGGUGAAGUCGUAACAAGGUAACCGUAGGGGAACCUGCGGUUGGAUCACCUCCUUACCU
rnacentral:rRNA from 2 species